GACGAACGCUGGCGGCGUGCUUAACACAUGCAAGUCGAACGGAAAGGCCCUGCUUUUGUGGGGUGCUCGAGUGGCGAACGGGUGAGUAACACGUGAGUAACCUGCCCUUGACUUUGGGAUAACUUCAGGAAACUGGGGCUAAUGCCGGAUAGGAGCUCCUGCUGCAUGGUGGGGGUUGGAAAGUUUCGGCGGUUGGGGAUGGACUCGCGGCUUAUCAGCUUGUUGGUGGGGUAGUGGCUUACCAAGGCUUUGACGGGUAGCCGGCCUGUGAGGGUGACCGGGCACAUUGGGACUAAGAUACGGACCAGAGUGCAACGGGAGGCAGUAGGGGGGAAUAUGGCACAAUGGGCGGAAGCGUGAGGCAGAAACGCCGGGGGCGGGAUGACGGCCUUCGGGUUGUAAAAAGCUUUAGCCUGUGACGAAGCGGGAGUGACGGUAAUGGGUAAAGAAGCACCGGCUAACUACGUG
rnacentral:rRNA from 1 species